rnacentral:rRNA from 1 species
UGAAAAGAACUUUGAAAAGAGAGUUAAAAAGUGCGUGAAACCGUUAGUGGGGAAACGGAUGCAGUUAGCAAUGCUUCGGCGAGAUUCAGGCGGUCACCUGGCUGGACGGGCAGUGUGUGGAUCCGAAUGGACUGUCGCUGCUUGGCUUGGUCUUGUGCUCGUCGCACUUCUCGUCGGAGCGCGUCAACAGCUGCUUGACUUGAGCGAUACGGUGCUCGGGAAGGUAGGCGUGUGUCUUCGGACUUGCGUUGUUAUAGCCCGUGGCAUUCCCAGUUCGAGUUUGGCAGAGGCGAACGGUGCAUGCUCUCUAGGGGGCUGGCGUCCUUCUCUUGAUCGAUUGUCGAGCAUGGCGGACUGCUUGCAGUGCGUCUGAACUGCUGUUGGUCAUUCGGGAGGAUCGCGCACACUAUGCACCUAGGUUGUUGGCGGCCAUAUGGCUUCAUCUGACCCGUCUUGAAACACGGACCAAGGAGUCUAACAUGUGCGCAAGUCUUGGGGUGACCGAAACCCAAAGGCGCAAUGAAAGUAAAGGCUGCCUGGCAGCCGAGGUGAGAUCUUCGUUCCGCGUGUCCGAAGCGCAUCAUCGACCGACCUAUUCUACUCCUAGAAAGUUGAGUAAGAGCGCAUCUUUUGG